CGGGANGAAGGGCGAAGCCUGAUCCAGCCAUGCCGCGGUGCAGGAUGAAGGCCUUCGGGUUGUAAACUGCUUUUGUACGGAACGAAAAGGUUUGGCCUAAUAAGCUGAGCUCAUGACGGUACCGUAAGAAUAAGCACCGGCUAACUACGUGCCAGCAGCCGCGGUAAUACGAU
rnacentral:rRNA from 1 species